rnacentral:rRNA from 1 species
UGCGGAAGGAUCAUUAUCGUACAACGUGCGUCGAGGGCGUGCGAGGGCUGUCGCUGACUUUUUGUUGACGCAAAAGUCGUGCACGCCGGAGCGCGUCCUCUCGCAUAAAAUCCAUCUCACCCUUUUGUGCACCACCGCGUGGGCACCUUUUGGGAUCGAACCGAUCCUGGAGGGGGCUUGCGUUUUCACACAAACCCCUUUUAAAAAGUGUAGAAUGACCCCAUUUUGCGAUGACACGCAAUCAAUACAACUUUCAACAACGGAUCUCUUGGCUCUCGCAUCGAUGAAGAACGCAGCGAAAUGCGAUACGUAAUGUGAAUUGCAGAAUUCAGUGAAUCAUCGAAUCUUUGAACGCACCUUGCGCCCCUUGGUAUUCCGAGGGGCACACCCGUUUGAGUGUCGUGAAAUUCUCAACCUUCUCGGUUUUCUUCUGGACACCGAAGGAGGCCUGGACAUUGGAGGCCUUUGCUGGCGUCUCUUAGACCCAGCUCCUCUUAAAUGAAUUAGCGGGGUCCUCUUUGCCGAUCCUUGACAUGUGAUAAGAUGUUUCCAUGACUUGGUUUCUGGCUCUGUUGCAUUUGGGACCCGCUUCUAACCGUCUCGACGAGACAACGUUUGGGCGUGUCUCCCUUCUCGGGAGACUCUCUCAACCCCCACGAACCCUUGACCUCAAAUCGG